CCUACGGGUGGCAGCAGUGGGGAAUAUUGGGCAAUGGGCGCAAGCCUGAUCCAGCUAUUCCGCGUGUGGGAUGAAGGCCCUCGGGUUGUAAACCACUUUUGUAGAGAACGAAAAGACACCUUUUAAUAAAGGGUGUUGCUGCCGGUACUCUAAGAAUAAGCACCGGCUAACUACGUGCCAGCAGCCGCGGUAAUACGUCGGGGGCGAGCGUUAAUCGGAAGUACUGGGCGUAAAGGGUGCGCAAGCGGUUGAGUAAGACAGAUGUGAAAUCCGCGAGCUUAACUCGGGAAUGGCAUAUGAGACUGCUCUACUAGAGUGUGUCAGAGGGAGGUGGAAUUCCAGGUGUAGCAGUGAAAUGCGUAGAUAUGUAGAAGAACACCGAUGGCGAAGGCAGCCUCCUGGGACAUAACUGACGCUCAGGCACGAAAGCGUGGGGAGCAAACAGGAUUAGAUACCCUUGUAGUC
rnacentral:rRNA from 1 species